rnacentral:tRNA from 1 species
GGGGGUAUAGCUCAGUUGGUAGAGCGCUUGACUGGCAGUCAAGAGGUCAGGGGUUCGAAUCCCCUUACCUCCACCA